GAAAGAAGCUGUGAAUAGUCAUGCUUUGUUAUUUUUUCGCUGUUACAUCACUUCCCAUAACAAGUAGGGCACUGAAUUUCAGGUUUGAUCUGCACUGUGUGGAGUGGAGCUGUUAUGUCUACUUUUCUUCCUUCUUCUUUGAACUAUGUGUUUUCAUGCAAUGGACAAAGAUUUCCAUUCUUCAGAUUGCAAUUUUAGAUGGCCACAUACGAGCUUCCUGGUAAACCAAACACUUAUGUUUCUCUCACCUGCUGCCACCAGCUCACAACACCUUGGUUUGACACCCAUUUGUACCAUUUCCUAUGGCUUCAAGUUUUGAUCAGCCUAUGCUUUCAAAUAUCACCUCUAUUCUGAUGACUGUCAAUUUUAUUCCUCUAGCCCAACGAUCUCUCCGGAUUUAAACCUCUUUAGAUUGUCACAAAGCUUCAGUCUCUGAUAACCAUUACAAGUUUGCGACUGAGUUUGAGUCCCAUAACUUUCUGGCCUUCAUCUGAGCUGUUGGUUCAAGAUGGCAGACUGAGCACACACAUUCAGCCUCUUCCACCUUUAAAAGUGUCAACAGGAAUAAGUGAAUUCAAUGUAAGAAGAAUGCAGAGGAAAAGGCCAAAGAUAUUCAAGCAAUAUGAAAGAAGAUAGAAACUACCAGCAAGAGAGAGCAGAAAUUCACUUCAUAAUUAGGUAUUCUAGAAAAAGAAUCCAUAACAAAUGGAGUACAGGCAAUAAACAAAGAAAAAGGCAAUAAAAAUAUUUCUGAAUUUAAAAAAAGUCUUUAAAAAAUUGGAUUUCAAAGAAAA